AUUGUCAAAAAAGCGCCAGGACUUAUGGGGAACAUAAGUUAACGAGGACGGGGUUUAUCGAGUUUUCGGCGGAUGCCCUGCGGUGUGUCACCACCGAGAGAAAUCCUACAAACCCGGCAAGUGAUUGACGGACAAAAGGAUGGGUGAUUUUUA
rnacentral:ncRNA from 1 species